rnacentral:tRNA from 1 species
GGGGUUGUGGCUCAGUGGUAGAGCACUUGCCUAGCAUGUGUGAUGCUUUGGAUUCAAUUCCCAGCCCUG